ACUCCCUCUCUAGCCACCGCGUACCGACGAACCCAUCGGCGCGAAAAGAACUCCUCUUCAUCUCGAGGUCGCUGGCGGCGCGGAGAAGGAGGCCGGCGCCAUCUUCUUCCCAAGGAGGAUGGCAGCGGAGAGCAGGACCUCGGCGCGUCCUCCUCUCCCUACCGAGGCGGACUUCAGCGUCACCCGACUCCCACAGGAGGGAUGCCGGCGGCUUCGGCGGCAGCCCAGCGCCAAAGGGCCCUACGCCGGAGGGACCGAUUACCUCCGCGUUAAGCUCAUGGGCUACCUGCGCGAUCUGGCUAAACCUAGCCCUCAAAAAGUGUGCUCAAGAUCGCGCCACUUCCAACGCAGGGGCGCCGAGGUGGUGAGGAUGAGGAUCCCCGCGAUGGCGGAUUUGAGGAUCUCCUGCUCAAGCUAAUGGGCCAUCUGCGCGUGCUCCGGUCAAGCAAUCCUCUGCCCCUACAGUCGUCACCACCGCCGAUAGCAGUCGUCGCGCCGGCGCCGUCAUGGUGUUUCUCUCCGUCGGAGCGUCCUUGCGUCAGGUGGCCGCCGCCGCUACCUCCGGAUACCGUGUCUAGCCAGUCGGCCGCGUCGGUGGCCGCCGCCGCUACCACCGGAAAUCGCGGCAACUGCAUCUAGCCAGUCGUUCGCCGUUCAUCCCGCCCUUUGCCCGCGCCUCAACCGCAAAUUCGCCAAGCAUCCGCCGCCGUCCAGGACGAAACAGAGAGGAUAGGCGGCAGCACUGCUGGUGCUGGCGACACAGGCGACACCAACACGGCAGAAGGCGAGGUGGAUGUGAAGGGAGGAGGAACCUGCCGUUUAAGAUGGCCACGGGCGCAGUGCUUGGCGCUAGCAAGGAUCUCGAGUUCUCGACCUUCGCUGCCGUGUCCUUGCAUCCACUGCAAAACCAGCAACGGCGUUAUCCGCCAGCCGGCGCGUCUCUGCCUCUGCUGCCAAAUUUGGGGGGCGCAAGGAGUAGGGAAGAUCCGGGGCGACCACCACGGUGGGGCGCUACGUCCGUGAAGGCAGGACGAGCAGCAUCAAAAGACCUUGGAGACGACAAAGGGAAGGUCUCUCCCAUCUCAUAUGGGCCGCCAACCAAUGUCCUCUCUCUGUGCCAUCCCCAAAUUUUUGGAAAGUCUGAUGAUGUUUGAUGCACCAGAGGAAGAUUAGGAGAGAUAUUUUAUAAUUUGCCACAAUUACUUAGUAAAAGCCCAAGUAUAGGACCGUUAAUUUGAAGCAGAGUCAGCAGACGUAACCGUCAGCUAGGCGGCGGAGUGGACCAACUAUAUUGCUGCCACUGCUACACAGGCAGAAAAGGUAAGUUUUUAGCCCUAUCGGUUCGAGCUGAAUGAAGGGAUGGAGGUCUGGUCUGCAACGCCACAAACGGCACCACAAAAGGGACACCAGAAGAGCAGUCAUGGAUACAACCUUGGUGAAGGAUCUGUCACCUCGAGGGUUUCAAUGGAAGACCAUUGUGUGUGUCGCUCGAAUCUGGGAACAUAGGGAUCAAGCAACCUGGCAAAAUAAUUUGUUUUAGGUGGACUUCAUUGUCAUUGACCAAGAGGCAUGGUGCACCUGUUGUCCUUAUAUUUCGAGUGAAUGGCUUUGUGCAGUAUAGUAAAGGGAUGUUAAACUUUCUUCUGUUGUACGAUCAUUUAGUAUCGAAACUAAAUUUCCCUAGACAAUUAUACAUUCAAAAAUUAAAUGAUGUUUCAGGGCAACAAAAUGGAAGGCUGCAUCCCAGCCAAUCGAAUUGACCAGUUCAGAGAUAAAAUAAAGUAAGGUUCGAUACUAUUUUUCCCUUGGAUUCAUUCCAUGUUUGCUAUCCCACAGUACUGCCAAACACACAAGAAAGUUUGUCGCGUCUGUCCUGGUGGUGUUGAUCUCUUUCAGUUCUUCAUUGUUGUGCGCCGUGUCAAAUUGGAAAACCUGGUUAGUUUGUUUCUUGUGCAUCAGUGAACUAACUUGUCUUUUACUUCUUGACUCUUGAGGCUGCAGUUAAUAUGAAUUGAUUUAUUUUCGUCUCAAAUCAUGCAUAGAUAUUUAGUCCAUGCACUGAUAUUUUUAUUGAGGGUCCUUAGGAUAAAUUACCUGGUUUCAAACUUAUUUCGGCUGCCUUGAAUAUUGAUAUGAUUUUACUGACUAGAUCUUAGAAAUCCUACAGUGCAUGGAGCAGCUGUUCUUGAUGUCCCUGUUAAAGCCACUGUAAAAGAGGUGUUUUGUUUUAUAUAUCCAUAUGAUCAUCAAUAUGAUGAGUUUGCAAACAUCUUUAUAAGGAAACUUUUGAUCCACUGCAUCGUAAUUCAUCAAUAAUCACUUGUAGUACGUGUCAUGGAGAGAUCUUCAAACAACCACAAUUUUGUGUCAUAAUCGAUUCUACUUUAUUAAUACAAGAAAGAAUUUUCUUUUCUGCUUCUGAAUAUUUUGUGUCUGAAUUGAUUCAGAGAAGGAAUCCAUAUGUUUGGUGAUUUCCCUACAAUUUUUAUUUCCGUCUUUAAUUUGCCAAUACUGUUGUACUAUUCAGCAGGAAAUUUAACCCUGUAUUCGAAUCCAAGAUUAAAGUCUACAACAAAAUAUAUCGCUGGUGUGUUACUUUAGGAAAAAUCAACGCACCAGCUAUAUAUUUUGUUGUAGAUCUAAAUUUCCUUCUGAUUCCAAAUGUUCUAUACGUUUUAGUAUUAAUAGAUAAAAUAUGUCAGUUUUGUUGGAAUCUUCAACGAUUUUUAGCCAUGGCUGGUUGCUGAGCUUCAGUGGUUGACAGAUGCAUAUGUUAGUUGCUUCAUUCACCCAUUUAGUGAUUAGUUCUCUGCUAUCACAGAAAAGCACAAAUGCAUGGCAAGCUCCCAAUCAUGUAUAUAUCUGAAAUGGUCUAUUAGGGUCAAGAUUUAGAUGUAGCAGUACCUUGGUAGGUACAUUGUAUUCCUCCUUUAUUUUUGGCGAUUCUGCAUUUGAGAAUAUGUUCAUGCUUUCUGAAUCGAAUUAGAUCUGGAUUAUUCACUUGGUCUUAUUUGAUAUCGAAGUGAAGAGAGCUGGUACCAGCUUAUGAAUCUUUAAUAUUAUGUCGGGUCAUACAUCUUAGGCCUGCCAUAGUUUGAAGUUCUUUCAUUUCCUGUUUCAGUGAGAUAGCAUCUAACUCAUGUUCUAACAACUACGUACAGACAUCAAAUAUUAGUUGUUAUCAGAGGAAGUUAUUUUUAAUGCUUUAUCUUGAAAGGGUAACCAUAUACAUUCAACUGCAUAUGUGUUGUUCUUUCCAAAUAAGAUACACUUUAGAGUUCCCCCGAGUAGUAGGAUGCCUGAGUAGUUUGUCAAGUGGUAUUUUCAUGUCAAGACAUGUGUUAUUCUAGAGAUAAUGAACAACUUGCUUUUACCUCAGAAUUUUGAGGCCUCAUAGGGGGUGAGCCUCGCGGCGACACUUUAACUUUGUUUUUUGGUUUUCACUGCCUCUUUGCUGUGUAUGGUUUGGUGCUGCGUAGCGAUUUCGACUGUGCAGUUUGAUAUGUUUCCUUCGCUUACUGAACAGUUUGAGUGGUUUGGUGGCGUGGUCAUAGCUGAUGCAUGAUUGGAAACGGUGGUGGUUGAUGUGGAUGACUCACCCGAUCACACGUGUGUUCGACCGCUCAGACUAAUCUCCUCUGCAUUAUCCAUUCACAUUUUCACAGGCUCCAUCCUAGCACUUAUUUUCUUCUCUCUCUGUAAAUCAAUCGCCACGGGAGUUGGGAGCGCAGCAGGAAUGAGGCGCGCGUCGCGGGAGGAUCUUCGAGGCAGCCGCCGACGAGCGCGUCCCGGUAGGCUCCGCCGACAGCCGCCGCCGUUCUGCCUUGCCUCUCGCCUUCACCAAAUCGCCACUGUCCUCUAUUUCUCAGCCGCUCCCUGUCGAGCUUGCCGCCACCAAGAGCCGCCUCCCCGCCCGGACUGUUGAGAUACUUCGCCCCACACUACUCAUGGAGAUCAAGCACGACGCCGCCAUCAUCGCGACGCUGGAGACGAAGAACUGCUGUGGUUGAGGAGCUCCAGCGGAUCGCGAACUGUGCCCCGGAUGAGGUCCGACUGCUCCUGUUGGAGCUGCCUGCGGUGGGGAUCGCGAAGGACGCGCUGGAGCGGCCGGUGCUCCUCUGGCGCCAACCGGUGCACGCGGGGGUGCUGUCUUGGCCAAGACCUGCGCGCUGAGGUGGUUCGAGUCCGUGGAGCAGAUCGCCGUGUGCGCUUGGAGAGGAGGCGACGGCGACGACAGAGGGCCAGGGCACAGAGUUUUCGUCUCGCUCUUUGGUUUUUUUCGCAUCAUUGUACUCGCCUUACAGUUUAUUUUUCUUUUCUCUGUAGGCCACGUCCUGUCGUCAGUCGUUGAGUUGUCCCCCACCGGUGUCUAAGUUUGUUACGAAAACUUCUUCUCUUCUACAAUUGAGUUCUACAAGCCCACCGGGGAUCAAAGUCCUCUGCGUUUUGGAACAAUUAUAUGGCUUAAGGUAACCAAACCUGAAAAGGUUAGGCAAGAUUGAAAGUACAUAUUGAUUAUUCUGUGUUGCCUACUAUCUUGUGGCUCCAUAUGUGCUAAUUGUGACCAUUGAUGUUGUAGAUUUGUUCUUUGUAAUUUUGGACAACUGAGAUAUGUUCAGAUGCUAUUGAACACUCUGUAGCUGAACAGUUCUCACUUUCGCUGCUGUUGCUGCUAGACAACGGCUGAAUUUUGUUGAUGCUCCUCACAUUUGCAAUUAUUUGUUCGGCUCUACUUAGCCGCGAAGGUAGAUAAAGGACGUGAACAUUAAUUCAUUAUGAAGAGCUGACAUUUGAGAAUGCCCUGAUCAACUAGCUGCAUAUACAGUAAUGUAAAUUUCAUUUUUGGUUUCACAAGCUGGAGAUGCUGAUUUUAUAUUCCUUGAGGAAAUAUGAAUGAACUAAAUCAAGUGGUCUAAAGUUAGUUUGGUUUCAAGAUUCCAAGGACAGGGAAAAAAACUUUGCUGACCAUGAUACCAAUGUACCUGUCGUAGAUGAUUCGUAUGCUGGAGCUUUAGUAGGCGGAUGGAGGUACCUCAUAUAAGGCGAAACUUGUUCUAGAGAACUAUUAUGUUAGAUUUCAUUGCAGAAGAGGACUGCCGCUUACCUUUUCCCUGAUUCUAUCACGAUACAGAUUCAUAUGUAAACUGAAUGCCAAAAGAGAGGACUGCCCCAUCGCACUCACUUGGUUGCUCAAAGUUGACGGAACUCUCUAUAAAUAUGUUGACGCCCUUUUCUCUUUCCUACAGCACUUGCAUUUUAAUUGAUCGAAGGGACAAUGCUUUUCAUGAUUAUUUCUGCCACUUUUCUGUAUGGCAAUGGCUUAGCCAUUUGCUCGAUCUAUGACUGUAUUAGUAAAUGCAAA